ACGAGAGAUGACAAAUUUUACUCAAACUUCAAGAGGCUACCUGAUGCUGAAAUUUGGUUGCAGUACAUCAGAGGAUCAUCAAUUUGUGAGGGGCCUUCCAAUUUAUGCGAUAAGUCAAGUUCUUGAAAAGAUUGUAUCCGGUGCAAAUGGGCCAC